CGCAUGUGCAGCCGUAGCCUCCUCGUUCGUCUUCUCAGGACUCCAGAGAACCGUUGGGGAACUUUGGGGUGUGCUCGGAAAAUGCAGGGUGCGCACCUAGGGCGAGGGACUAGCUGGGAAGGGUGUGCCUGUGCUUGGGGAUGGGAGCAGAAAGUGUCUGGGACCUCGUUGCCCCCCGCGGCGGUGUAUAAACCCGGGCAGGCCGUCAGAGCGGGUAAGGCCGAUGGGGGAGACCCCGGCCCUCGGGCUCCCGGGGCGCAGGUGUUCGGGGCGGUCCGGGGGCCGGGGUCUCCCCCAUCGGCCUUACCCG
rnacentral:lncRNA from 1 species